rnacentral:rRNA from 1 species
AAAUGAAUUGACGGGGGCCCGCACAAGCGGCGGAGCAUGUGGAUUAAUUCGAUGCAACGCGAAGAACCUUACCUGGGUUUGACAUGCACAGGACGCCGGCAGAGAUGUCGGUUCCCUUGUGGCCUGUGUGCAGGUGGUGCAUGGCUGUCGUCAGCUCGUGUCGUGAGAUGUUGGGUUAAGUCCCGCAACGAGCGCAACCCUUGUCUCAUGUUGCCAGCGGGUAAUGCCGGGGACUCGUGAGAGACUGCCGGGGUCAACUCGGAGGAAGGUGGGGAUGACGUCAAGUCAUCAUGCCCCUUAUGUCCAGGGCUUCACACAUGCUACAAUGGCCGGUACAAAGGGCUGCGAAGCCGUGAGGUGGAGCGAAUCCCUGCAAAGCCGGUCUCAGUUCGGAUCGGGGUCUGCAACUCGACCCCGUGAAGUCGGAGUCGCUAGUAAUCGCAGAUCAGCAACGCUGCGGUGAAUACGUUCCCGGGCCUUGUACACACCGCCCGU